rnacentral:rRNA from 1 species
UACGUAGGGUGCAAGCGUUGUCCGGAAUUAUUGGGCGUAAAGAGCUCGUAGGCGGUUUGUCGCGUCUGCUGUGAAAAUCCAGGGCUUAACCCUGGACCUGCAGUGGGUACGGGCAGACUGGGAGUGCGGUAGGGGAGAUCGGAAUUCCUGGUGUAGCGGUGAAAUGCGCAGAUAUCAGGAGGAACACCGGUGGCGAAGGCGGAUCUCUGGGCCGUAACUGACGCUGAGGAGCGAAAGCAUGGGGAGCGAACAGG